rnacentral:lncRNA from 1 species
AAGGUUUCCUGUUCCUUAUUUAUUUACAUAUUUUUAAAAGAAAACCCAAAUGGAUUGAAAUGUGGGGCGGAGUUUGCUUUGGGGCCAGCCCCACUAUUUAAGAAGAGGGGCUGCCUGGUAGAGAAUUCAAAGGCAUAUCCUGUACACCGACAUCAGGUGCGAUGGAGCCCGUAUGCAGUCAUGAGGAGAAGUUACCCAUUUUUAAUAAAAAGAAUUAUAUACUUUUUCUUUCCUUUUAAAAAAGCAAUUGAGUCUGUGGGAGGCCUGACGAUCAAGGUCCCAGCGUGGCAGUGAUGACUCUUUCCUCUCUGUGGCACCGUUCUUGAGUGCCCUACCCUCAAGGGAAGUCUAAGCUGUGCCUGCCUCAGGUGGGCGGUCUGCCUCCGUCUUCUCCAGCACAUGGUGGGGUCAGUAUGCUCACUCAGGCAUCUGCAGUGAGACUUUGAUUGUGUUUGAUGAGCCACAUUCAAUAUCAUUUUCAGGAAUGGCAAGUGGCCAGGUUCCCGUCCAUCAUUGCCACCCCCCACCCCCAGCAGAAUUGCCAUCGAAGUUGAGUCCAGAGUGGGCUGAUAGCCUGGAGGAAGCCCAGGCAGCUACAGGCCAGUAGCGCUGUGGGCAAGGUCCUGUGUCAUGGUGCUUUUCAAGGGUCUGUGUACAGUUAGGAUUGGGUCUCCCUGUGCUGGAGGUGGAAAACGAGGAGGCCCUUCCGACCAAAAUUUCUGCAUCUUCACUGAGUGUGAACCCCCGGAGAGCUCUAUUAUUAUUAUUAUUUUUUUUAAUCAAAGCUACAUAAAAUACAACUGUAUUAGAAAUACUUUAUUGCCAGAAAGACUUUCUGUUUUAAUUAGGAACUAAAGUAAAGAGAAAGUAAGACAUUUUGAAUGGCUAUAGAGACAGCUGCAGAUGAAGGGACUCGCCCCAAGGUUGUUCUGGGUUUGGAGUGUGGAUGUCACCCACACUGAAGUUCAGCAUUGGAAGUCCUCAGGGCCACCGCCUUCCUUCCCGCUCCUCAGUUUCCCCACACAGCGUCUCUGCGAAGACCUGGUAAAGGUAGCAUCCUGCCUGCCUCUGUCUUGGCAAAUCCAGAGGCCCAGUUCCGGUACAUCCCUCUUCUGUCCCCUUCGUCUGUGCACCGACUCAGAUUUCCGCUCUGAGCUGCAGGUUACUGUCCGUGUGGGCCGGACUCCAGGGUGGAAGACAUUCUUCAGUCUGCCUGUCUUCUUAAACUUCAUACUUUAAUAUGGAUUCCAUGUGCAUUUUUUUUUAAAAACAAAACAACUUGUAACUAUGAACAUUGGAAUGGAAACUCAUUGCGAGGGUAACGGGUUUACAUGAGUUUGCACUUGCUGUGAUCACUGAGUCUGUUGGGGAAGAUACCAGAAUAUCUUAUGUUAACAGCCCUUCCCUUCCAGUGGAGCCCUGCAGCUGCCAUCUUAUGGACGCUGACUCGUACUGAUCCCAAGAUGUUCUAAUAUGUGAGAGUUUACAUGUCUUCAUCAUUAUAAAUAAGUCUCCAUGGUUUAUAACACUAUGUAUCAGUCAGUGUAAGAUAUUUUAAGCAUUUAGGUACAGACUUCAGAACUUUUAAAAACUGCCCUAUAGAAUAAUUAUAAACUGAUCCUAGUGUCCGUAAAACUAAGGGAAUAUUUUUUUGCUGUUGAAAUAUGAAUUAUAAAGCAGCACUCCUAGGGUCGUGUGCAUCCUGUAUUAGAUGCUGUGCAAAGCUCUGCUUACAGAACUAAGACUUCGUGUGUAGGCAGCAGCUCAGGGGUGAGGUUAAAACACUAAACUCCGCCAGGACUUUUGAUAGUCACCAGAAGACUGUUUUGUUCUGAGGGGAUUAAAAUUUUGUAAACUUAAAUUAUAAGUUCAAAGGGCUGACUUAGUUCUUUCAGGGUAACGGUUUGAAUCCUCCUGUCUUUGGGGUAUUUUUUAUAUUGGUCCAAUCCAGGGGAACCUGGAAGGUGACGGCUCCCUGAUUCCCGGUGAGAGCUUCAUUUUCCCUGUGGGUAGUAAAUCUGCUUUAUUGUCAUUCAUUGCAGCAGUGAUUUGGUGCCUUCAAGCCCCAUUUGAAAGGCUAGAGAAGAGGGUAUGUAAACUUACAUCCGAGGCUCGUGAGGCGCUUGCUCUCUGUACAGUUAGACUGAAGUAAGCUUAGGUAUGUAAAGCCAUCCUGCAGAUGGGCAGUUUAUAAAGCAAAUCUCGCCAGCCUCAAGUGCUGAACCAUUGAAGGCACAGUUAGGAUAAACAGGUUCAAAUAUGGUUACUAAUCUUUAUAGGAAAAACACAAGCACCCACAAAAGAGAGAACUAAGUCCCUCCAUGAGGAACAGAUAUGAGGCUUGAUAAGUAUUAUAUAUUUGAGCGUUUGCCUUAGUGAUUAGAUUUUUGGGGGUUGGGGGAGAUGUGGCUCUUUUUUUUUUUUUCAGGCCAAAGGAAAAUGGAUGUCGUCAGAAGCCUUGCUGAAUGUUUCUCUUGGUGGCUCGGGUGCUGCUAGGUGCUACCAUUCUGUGAUCUGUCCUGUGACACAGAACAGGUUAAUUCCAUUGUAUGACAGAGGGAUUGUCUGCUCCUGAAAACUACCUUUUUACAAAUGUCUGUAAAUAUCUGUUAAAUAAAAACACUAGCCUCUAAGUCCAGAAGGAACACGGUUUGACCAUCAGUGCACCAGUGUUGUCUGAGCAGUCAGUCAAGGAAUAAAUGCUUAUUUAUGAAAAACUCAAUAAAAGUCACAUUU